GACGAACGCUGGCGGCGUGCUUAACACAUGCAAGUCGAACGGAAAGGCCCUGCUUUUGUGGGGUGCUCGAGUGGCGAACGGGUGAGUAACACGUGAGUAACCUGCCCUUGACUUUGGGAUAACUUCAGGAAACUGGGGCUAAUACCGGAUAGGAGCUCCUGCUGCAUGGUGGGGGUUGGAAAGUUUCGGCGGUUGGGGAUGGACUCGCGGCUUAUCAGCUUGUUGGUGGGGUAGUGGCUUACCAAGGCUUUGACGGGUAGCCGGCCUGAGAGGGUGACCGGCCACAUUGGGCCUGAGGUACGGCCCAGACUCCUACGGGAGGCAGCAGUGGGGAAUAUUGCACAAUGGCCGGAAGCCUGAUGCAGCAACGCCGCGUGCGGGAUGACGGCCUUCGGGUUGUAAACCGCUUUCGCAUGUGACGAAGCGUGAGUGACGGUAAUGGGUAAAGAAGCACCGGCUAACUACGUG
rnacentral:rRNA from 1 species